UUUUAGAGAGUUUGAUCCUGGCUCAGGACGAACGCUGGCGGCGUGCCUAACACAUGCAAGUCGAACGGAGUAUUUCAGCGGAAGUUUUCGGAUGGAAGCUGAUUUACUUAGUGGCGGACGGGUGAGUAACACGUGAGUAACCUGCCUCUCAGAGGGGGAUAACGUCUUGAAAAGGACGCUAAUACCGCAUGACAUCUUAUGGCCGCAUGGUUGUGAGAUCAAAGGAGCAAUCCGCUGAGAGAUGGACUCGCGUCCGAUUAGCCAGUUGGCGGGGUAACGGCCCACCAAAGCAACGAUCGGUAGCCGGACUGAGAGGUUGAACGGCCACAUUGGGACUGAGACA
rnacentral:rRNA from 1 species